CACACGCCCUUUCUCCGCUCGCUCUGCACUGAUGGGUAGACACGCAGACGCAUCUACCUCAAGCAACACGUUUGUUCAAGUGCUCUGAUUGCACCCACAAUCGACCUUUCAAUGUCAACGAGAAAAGACAAGCCGAGUGACGUUUCGACGACAGACACUGGUGACACGGAAAAGAGAGUAACUAAAACACCCAAAAAUUUCAAGCA
rnacentral:ribozyme from 1 species